ACUGACCCCCAUUCCACCAACCCCACCACCCCACCCCACACCAUAACCCCCCCACCCCCCACAACACAAUCGAACAUCACCCCCUCCCUCCCCCUCAACAUCAUCACCCCCACCAGCCCCGUCCACCACCAACACCCACGGCGAGGGAAGGAAAAGUCGGGAGUCCAAUCACAGGUGUAUCAUUGAUGGGAGGGGAAGGGGCUGGGGAAGGGGAGGGGGGGGAGAACACCUGGCGCGGUUUCCCACUUUACCGCGUGACAAGGUGUGUUCCUGACCCCUGCCGCCCUGCCCUCUAGCGGCGGGUAAUAAUUAGGUGAAUGGCAGGAAGUAGGAAGAGGAGGAGGAGGACUGGAGGAGAAAGGAGACUGAAGAGGGAAGGAUAGAGUGGAGGAGGAGGAGGAGGAGGUGAGGGGCUGAGCAGGUUACAAGAAGAGGUACAGAACGAAGAAAGGGAAGGAAAAGAAGGAUGAGGAAGGGAAGGAGGAGGAAAGAGAGAGAACGAAGAACAAAGAAAGGGAAUGGAGAAAGAACGAAGAAAGGGAGGGAAAGGAAGAAAGGGAAGAACGAAGAAAGGGAGGGAAUGGAAGAACGGGAAGAAACGAAGAAAGGGAGGGAAAGGAAGAACGGGAAGAACGAAGAAAGGGAGGGAAAGGAAGAAACGAAGAAAGGGAGGGAAAGGAAGAACGGGAAGAACGAAGAAAGGGAGGGAAAGGAAGAAACGAAGAAAUGGAGGGAAAGAAAGAAAAGGAAGAACCGAAGAACGGGAAGAAAGAACGAAUAAAAGAGAGAAAGAGAACGGAAGGGUGAGGAGGGGAAGGAGAAGCGGGUAACUAUGAUAAAUUAAUGGCGGAGAGAGAGAGAGAGAGAGAGAGAGAGAGAGAGAGAGAGAGAGAGAGAGAGAAGCGGCGAGUGUGUGAGAAGGGAGGGAGGUGACGUGGGGAGAUAAAUGAAAGGAGGGAGAAAUAAUAGCGUGGGAGGAGAAUAUAAGGGGUGAGAAGUAAUACCAGGGAGGGGAAAGUAGGUAGGAAGGUACAGCGAGAGGGAGGAAAGUGAAUUAGAAGGAUACGAAAGACAAGGAAGGAAGGAUGAUAGUUAUUAAAGAAGGAAAAGGAGAUGGCGAUAGAAAUACACGAGGGAGAAGAAGUAAAUAGAAAGGAAAGGAGAGAUGAGUUAGUGAAGUUACGAAAAAAAGAAAAGAGGAAAAACGAUGAAACUAUUGAAUAAGGAAGAGGAGUUAGAAAAAAUAAUAAGAAGAGAAAUGCACGUGGAAGAUGGAAUACAGGAAAGAAAAGAAGAAAAAUGUAAUGAAUAAUUAUUAAAAGGAUACGAAAAAAAAAGAGGAGGAAGAAGAAGAAUGAGAACUACUGAAGGCGGAAGAGAAGAUGAGAGCAAAUAUAUACGAUGAAGAAAACAUAUAAGAUAGAAAAUGGGAGAUGAAGAGGAGGAGGAGGAAGAAUAAUGAAGAACUACUCCAGGAUGAGCUUGACAGACUAUAUGAUUGGGCGAGGAAGUGGCAGAUGGAAUUCAAUGUCGGGAAGUGUAGCAUUUUGAGUGUAGGUAGGAAUAACCCCUUACACAAUUACUCCUUAAAUGACACUCCUCUAAGCAGGUCUGGGCGUGAGAGACUUAGGAGUCCUAGUGAGUGCUGACCUCCGUCCUAGGGCUCAAUGCAUUCAGGCUAAAAAUCGGGCAAACAGAGUACUUGGUUUCAUCUCAAGGAGCGUGAGCAAUAGGAGCGCUGAAGUCAUCCUCAAACUUUACUUAGCACUAGUUCGACCUCAUCUCGAUUAUGCAGUUCAGUUCUGGUCCCCCUACUAUAGAAUGGAUAUCAAGAUGUUAGAAUCUGUACAGAGGAGGAUGACAAAGAUGAUUCAGGGGGUGAGAAACUUGCCUUAUGAAGACAGGCUGAAGCAGUUAAAUCUACACUCUCUAGAAAGGCGAAGGUUGCGAGGAGACUUGAUCGAAGUUUAUAAAUGGAUGAAGGGAUUUAAUAAAGGGGAUGUCAAUAAAAUUUUGAGAGUGAAAGAACCAGGUAGGACGCGUGGCAAUGGUUUUAAGUUAGACAAAUUCAGAUUCAACAAAGACAUAGGCAAGAAUUGGUUCACCAAUAGAGUGGUGGACGAAUGGAACAGGCUUGGGAGCCAUGUUGUGGGUGCCAAUACCAUAGAUACAUUCAAGAAGAGGUUAGAUAAAGCCAUGGAUGGUGAGGUAAGGUGGGGUUGAGUGUACAGGAGCUGCCUUGUAUAGGCCAACCGGCCUCUUGCAGACUCCUUACGUUCUUAUGUUCUUAUGUAAGGAAGAGGAGAUGAGAACAAAUAUAUACGAUGAAGAAAAACAUAUAAGAUAGAAAAUGGGGGCUGAAGAGGAGGAGGAGGAGGAGGAGGAGGAGGACGAAACAGGGGUGGAGUAAGGGAGGAGGAGUGACCUUAAUGAGGGAGUAAAGGAGGAAGGGGAGGAGUAGGCAAUGAUACUGAGAAACGCUGCCGAGAAAGGGAGAGAAGAGGAGGAGGAGGAGGUGGAGGAGGAGGAGAGGAGAUCAGUAGGCGGAGAUACUGAGAAAAACUGUUAUAAAAGGAGGUAGCGAAGGAGGAAAAGAAGGAAGAGGAGGAAGAGAGGAGGAGAGGACAGUAGGCGGAGAUACUAAGAAAAACUGCUAAGGGAGAAGGAGGAAGAAGAAGAGGAGGAGGAGGAAUGAGAUCAGUAGGCGGAAAUACUGAGAAAAACUGUUAUAAAAGGAGUUAGCGAAGGAGGAAAAGAGGGAAGAGGAGGAGGAUAGAGAACUGUAGGUGGAGAUACUAAAAAAACUACUAAGGGAUAAGGAGGAAGAAGAGGAGGAGGAGGAGGAGGAGGAGGAGAGGGAACAAAGAACAAAGAGAAAGAAGAUGCUGAGAAUAACUGCCAUGAAAGGAGGAGAAGGAGGAAAAGGAUAAAGAGGAGGAGGAGGAGGAGGAGGAAAGAGAAUAACAGACGAAGAUACUGAGAAAAACUGUUAUGAAAGAAGUUAGAGAAGAAGGAAAAGAAGGGAGAGGAGGAGGAGGAGGAGGAGAAGGAGGAGGAGGAGGAGAACAACAGACGAAGAUAUUGAGAAAAACUGUUAUGAAAGGAGUUAUAGAAGGAGGAAAAGAAGGGAGAGGAGGAGGAGGAGGAGGACGGUAGGCGUAAAUACUAAGAAACAUUGUCGAGAAAGGAGGAAAAGGAAGAGAAGGAGGAGGAAGAAGAGAGAUGGAAAAGAUGGGAAAGGAGGAAGAGGAGGAGGAAGAGGGAAAGAAAACAAUAUAGGUGUAGUUACUGAAAAAAUGAUACCGUGAAAGGAUGAGUGGGAAAAGGAGAUGAGAAGGGAAGGAGGAGGAGGAGGAGGAGGAAGAGAGAUGGAAGAGAUGGGAAAGGAUGAGGAGGAGGAAGAGGAAAGGAAAACAAUAGGCGUAGUUACUGAAAAAAUCUACCGUGAAAGGAUGAGUGGGAAAAGGAGAUGGGAAGGAAAGGAAAGGAGGAGGAGGAGGAGGAGGAGGAAAGAAGACAGUUACGCACGAUUUCCGGCCGUAAAGGAGAAGCGAAGGGAGUUUUUACCUGCCCGACGUAAUGAGAGGGACGGAAAGGUGUGCGGGAGGGACAGGGAACAGUAGCGGGAGAGAGAGAGAGAGAGAGAGACUAAUACUUCGAGGUGGUAACUGUUGACGAGUUUUAAACGUGUUGAUUGUGUUACACCGCAGUCAAACCACAAAGAGAGAGAGAGAGAGAGAGAGAGAGAGAGAGAGAGAGAGAGAGAGAGAGAGAGAGAGAGAGAGAGAGAUCAAAUAAAGACAAACAUACGAAAAGACAUUUAUAAGAGAGAAAAAAAAUCACACCGGAGACAAGAAAAAGAAAAGAAAAAAAAAUACCAAGAAAAAAGUAAGAUAAAUAGGAAAUGAAACCCAACAACAACAACAACAACAACAACAACAACAACAAGUAGAAGACGAGGGAAAAGCGAAGCAGGAGAAAAGAAGAAAUAGAAGGAGGAGGAGGAGGAGGAGAAGGAGGAGGAGGAGGAGGAGGAAAACAUCACACAUUACAUACUGCUUCUUCCGGCCCAGUUUAGCCCAGGGCAGCGGGGAACCGGAACUGGAGGGAAGGGGGGGAGGGGGGCAAACCUGGAGGGAAUGGGGAAGGCUGAAAGGGAGGGUAAGAGAGGGAAGGAGGGAGGGAAGGGGAGGAACCUGAAGGAAAUGGGAGAGGGAAGGGGAGGAACCUGGAGGGAAUGGGAGAGGGAAAUGGAGGGAAGGGGAGGAACUUGGAGGGAAAGUGGAGGGAAAAGAGAGAGGGAACUGGUGAAGGGUAGUGGAGGAAACUUAAACCUGGAGGAGGAGGAAAAGGAUUGGAGGUAAAGGUGGAGGAAACUGGUGGAGAGUGGAAGAACCUGGAGGAGAAGGUGGAAGGAAGGAAGCUGGAGGUAAAGGAGGGAGGAAACUGUGGAGGUAAAGAGGAAUUGAACUGGAGGGAAGUGGAGGGAGGGAACCGAGGGAAAGUGGAAGGAGGGGUCAGGGGUGAAACUGGAGGAAAGUAGUGGAAGGAGGAGGAAACUAGGGUAGUAGAUGAAGGUAAGGAGGGAGAAAAGGAGGAAAGUGGAGGGAAGUUAAGGAAGAGUGGAAGGGAAGUUGAGGGUAGAGACGGAGGAAACUGGGGAGGUAAAGAGGAAGGAAUGGAGGAAAGUGGAGGGAAGUAGUAGAAUCUGGAGGGAAGUGAACUGAAGGGAGAGAAAAUAGAAAAAAAAAACAGGGAAAGUGGAGUGAAAAUAGAGAAGAGGAGAAAAGUGGAGAGGGAAGGGAAGGAAACAGAAAGGUAGGCGAGGAAGGAAAAGGAAACAGUAGGGAAGGAAGGAAGGUGGAGGUGGUGGAGGUCAGUAGGAGGAAGAGGAGGAAAUAAACAAUGGUGACGAAUAUAAUAAGUGGAUAGGGAUGUGGAUGAAGAUGGUAGUAAAAGAAGGGAAGAAGGAAAGGAAUAAGGAAGGAAGGAAGGAAGAAUGUAGGGAUAUGAAGGCUCGUUGGCGGAAGAGGAAGAAGAGAAGUGCAAGAAAGAGAAGUGUUAUAGUGAAGAAGAGACGUGUAAUAAGGAGAAAGAUAAAUGUUGUAUAAAAAAAAGAGAAGUAUAAAGAGAAGGAAGAAGAG